GCUCAUGCUAGUUAGAAUAAGGUCAGAGGAACAGUAAGAAAACACUGUUGGCCAGACUGUCCUUUCUGCUAAAACAGCCUUCACUGAAAAUAGUACUAUUUCUACUACUUAAAAAACCCAAACCAACAAACCCCAGAACUUUAGAGUGCACUCAUUGAGAACUUUGAAACAUUCUUCUGAAGAAAUUGAAGUGUUCAAAGCUGGCCAACAGUGCACUCCAGCCAGGAAUAACAGAAUAGGACUUUGGCUCUUUUUAUGUUGGUUUUUGGAAGCAGGACCAUGAUUAAGAGCAAUGGUUGGGGGCAUUCAUGUUGUGCCACUUGAACUGAAAUUCUUGGACCAGUGAAAGAUGAACUAAAGUGACAUUUGCCAAGAAUGUUUUCAUUAUUCAAGAAC
rnacentral:ncRNA from 1 species